CUUCAUUGCUUUUCUUCUGCCGAAACUCCAUCCUAAGACCACCUAGACACAGCUCCCAUCAGUUGUCUUUCCCUGCUAUAGCCAUACUCUUUUGGGCUGCCAAAGUUACACCAACCCGUCUACCAGCUGCCUUACCCACUGCAUGCAAGCCAUCAAACACCCCAUACCCAUCUUCUUCUCCUCCUCAUGCACCUCGCUGGAGUUGUCUUCAGGUUCAGUUUUCCUCCUCACGUGCCUUUCCGAAGCUGUCUUCAGGUUCAGAGCUCCUACCUCAGCCCCGAACGCCUCUCCACACUGCCGACGAUAACUAACACGUUGUCCUCUUCAACCGCGCACCAUUAGCAGCUCCACCGAAACCCAUUUCCAAUGUGUUUACCAAUAAUACCACGUCUCCGUUCUGGUUCUGUCCAGAUGUCGACGAAGAUCUGUACAACCACUAGCUUGCGGCCUGGCCAUGAAACGACGUAGUGGCUCUUAGCGUCGAGCGUUCUCAUUUCUGGGGUGCAGGGGCCGCGCAUACUGUCACCUCUUUUUAUUGCAUUGUAGUUUAUAUUUUGAUUGGCAUUCCUAAGUUACAAAAAUGUCACACCGUAAAGAAAUGGGCCAUUUUCAAGAGGUGUAUGUUAAUUAUUCGUUACUAUUUUAUUAAGUUUCAGGUCCUUUUCUUUCUUGAUAUCUCUAAGUUUUGGGGGUAUUAUGCAUUCUAAGUAUCAUAGAAGUAGCUGAGGGGCGGGAGAAUUGGUUGUAGUUAAGGCCUGUUUGGCCGGAAAAUAGGUGGUGCCGGUUUUUGAGAAACAUGAUGUUUGCAUUGAGUUGAAGUAGUGAGGUCACGUGAGGGGAUCACCGACCUGUUUUCGAGGGGUUUCCAGAGGCGGUAUAAAAACAGGAGAAACCGCCUCUGUUAAGAGUAGCGAUUCUUUUUGACUGUGAGAUUCUUCAUUUCUUUUGAGAAAAGGGAGAGAGAAGGAAAGCUUAGAGUUUCGGGAGAAGGAAGUGGAGAUUGAGAGCUCCAGCAGAAAUUGUCAUGCCAUGGGGCUUAAGGCUAUAGGAUUUUGCAUACUGCAUCUUCUUUUCAGAAAUUACGCAUCAUGUCCAAAGUUGUUAGAAGCAAACCCCACAAAGCAUUUACUUUCAACUGACCUACUGGUCUAGCGCGGUUUCAAUCUCUACUGUUCUAACGCGGUUUCCUUCUCUGCUGGUCUAACGCGGUUUCCUUCCAUUACCCUUUCACGCGGCAGGCCCCCAGAGAUUACGUAUCACGCCAAUAGGUGUUGGGAGAAGCAAACCCCACAAAGCAUUUCUUUCAACUGAUCUACUGGUCUAACGCGGUUUCCUUCUUUACUUCUAUCCUUUGUUCUGCAUUCCUUCUGCUUCUCCUACUACAAGAAGCGGAAACACUUAUUUUUCCAGAAUAAUACUGCAGCAGAAGCACUUCUUUGCCCAAAAUACUCCAAGUUUUGCUGUGAGACUUGGCUCCAAUUACAUCAACAAGAUCACCAUCACUUGUCACUGUGUUUGGUUAUUAUUAUUGGUUAUUCUCUUGUUCAGAUUUCUCACAGCUGUAUUCUUCAAUUAUAGCUAUGGUUUCAUUUCAGAUUUGCAA